rnacentral:rRNA from 1 species
AAUUUUGUACAAUUUGGGAAACCCUGAUCCAGCCAUCCUGCGUGUAUGAUGUAGGCCUUCGGUUUGUAAAGUACUUUUGGCUGAGCCGCAAAGGUACCUCCUAAUACGAGGUACUGCUGACGGUAUCUGCAGAAUAAGCACCGGCUAACUACGUGCCAGCAGCCGCGGUAAUACGUAGGGUGCAAGCGUUAAUCGGAAUUACUGGGCGUAAAGCGUGUGUAGGCGGUUCGGAAAGAAAGAUGUGAAAUCCCAGAGCACAACCUUGGAACUGCAUUUUUAACUACCGAGCUAGAGUAUGUCAGAGGGGGGUAGAAUUCCACGUGUAGCAGUGAAAUGCGUAGAUAUGUGGAGGAAUACCGAUGGCGAAGGCAGCCCCCUGAGAUAAUACUGACGCUCAGACACGAAAGCGUGGGGAGCAAACAG